rnacentral:rRNA from 1 species
UACGUAGGGGGCAAGCGUUGUCCGGAAUCAUUGGGCGUAAAGAGCGCGUAGGCGGCCCGGUAAGUCCGCUGUGAAAGUCAAAGGCUCAACCUUUGAAUGUCAGCGGAUACUGCCGGGCUAGAGUCCGGAAGAGGCGAGUGGAACUCCUGGUGUAGCGGUGGAAUGCGCAGAUAUCAGGAAGAACACCAACGGCGAAGGCAGCUCGCUGGGACGGAACUGACGCUGAGACGCGAAAGCGUGGGGGAGCGAACAGG